AAUAGCUCUUGUUGCUUGCCUUUUAACAAUAAUUGUUAUUAUUUUGGUUUAAUUAGAGAGAAUGACUCAUUCUGACAAAUAAAUAAUUGAGUUUUACUCAAAUUUUAACACUUCUGUAUAGACUAAUUAUUUAAUUAAAAUCCCUAUUCAACAUAAAACACUGAUAAUAAAUGUUUGACUAAUGUUACAUGUGUGUUCAGGUAGGCUACAUGUACUGUAUAUAGUGAGUACAAUUCCUCUUGUUCUUAUAUAGAAUGGUUCCAAAAAUAGACAAUUUUGUGGAGGAUGUUGUCCCUCUCUACAGUCUCUCAGAAUUUAGAAGUUAUUUCAGGCUUUCCAGAGAACAAGUGGAGGAUGUCAUCACUACCCUUGGUCCUGUGUAUAUGAAUUUACAACAGACCAAACUGCCACUCACGAACAGUGUUCUUGCCUGCCUUUGGACAUUGGUGAAUCAGGAGUCAUAUCGUGGGGUGGCAGAUAGAUUUAACAUGUCAAAAUCCACUCUUGCCAAGCAUCUCCAUGAGUUGUGUUACAAUAUUAACACAAACAUGGCCCACCACAUAUCCUGGCCCAGAGGUCAAAGGCUGGAGAUGUCAAAGUUAGGGUUUGACACAGCAGGUUUCCCCAACACUGUAUGUGCAGUAGAUGGGUGUCACAUUCCUAUAAUGAGACCCCACUGUGAUAAUCCCCUAGCAUACAUGAAGGUUGAGGUUUAGGGGUGCCGGCGACCUAGUGGAGGUAGUGGGACAUGGAAUAGGAGGUUGGAGAAGCUUUGCAGCACAAGCUGGGCCACUGAGGAGAGCUGUUUGGAGAGAAGAUUGUAGAUGUGCUGAUACUUUCUCCAUGACAGAGGAAAGGAACAUUUGAUCUGGGGGGA